UGGUCUGUUUGGAGGGCAAGGCUUGUCUUGUUUGCAUUCUUGUUCCCUUCCUUCUCUGUGAAUAUCUCUCGAUAGUCUCCCCCAGUUCGUUAACCUAGAAGCAAUUUACCUUUGCCGUACACCUCUAGAUUCCUGGGAUAAUCUGCAAUUUGACAUUUACUAAAUCAGCUUUGUGCUUGACAGAGCGAAACUGAAGAAAGCAACCACUGCAUUGAAGCACGGAGACAGGAGUGUUAAGUUUUCCCCUCUAAGUGUGGAGAACAUGCCCACCAUACCAGGCAAUACCACUCAGGGCCUAUCCUUGCUGCCUUGUGAUGCUGAACUAUGCCAUAGCAAUGGCCGUUGCUUUGUGCUUGAUAAGAAGAUCAACUGUGAGUGCUGGCUUGGCUACAGUGGGGAAUUUUGUGAGAACCGGGUCAGCAAACCUAUCGGCGUUCAGCUCACACUGGGGGUCCUUGGCUGCAUCAUUGGCUUAGUGGGCCUUGCCUUCCUCCUCGCCUUCUUCAAGAAAAGGGCCGUGGUGUCCAAGAGGAAAGUACCUGCUGCUUCAAAGGAAACCAAGAAGAGGAACGCAAGCAAAGACCCCCUUUGAUAUGGAACGGUCAACUUUGCAGCAGGGACAUUCUCAUCUGCAUUGCCUUCUUCCUGCUGCUGAUUUUGUUGAAUUAAGGUGGCAUUUCACUGUAAUCAGCUGGAUAAGCAGGUAUUGCAGGAUGCUUUGCUCUGUGGCUGGAAUUACAUUUGUUACCAGUACUGCUUAUACUAAGCUGGUAAGCAAAUUGGUGUAAGAGUUACAUGCUGUAUGUUUUACUUUGAGAAGCAUUUUCCCUGGGUCUUACAUUACAAUAACUGAACUGCAUAUUGCUUCUGUUGUAACUUUGGGCAUAAAUCUUCAUGAUGCUAUUUUAAUUGU